CCUACGGGAGGCAGCAGUGAGGAAUAUUGGUCAAUGGGCGCGAGCCUGAACCAGCCAAGCAGCGUGAAUGAUGACUGCCCUACGGGUGGUAAACUUUUUUUAUAAAGGAAUAAAGUGAGGCACGUGUGUCUUUUUGUAUGUCCUUUAUGAAUAAGGCUCGGCUAACUCCGUGCCAGCAGCCGCGGUAAUACGGAGGAGGCGAGCGUUAUCCGGAUUUAUUGGGUGUAAAGGGAGCGUAGAUGGGUUGUUAAGUCAGUUGUGAAAGUUUGAGGCUCAACCGUAAAAUUGCAAUUGAUACUGGCAGCCUUGAGUGCAGUUGAGGUAGGCGGAAUUCGUGGUGUAGCGGUGAAAUGCGUAGAUAUCACGAAGAACUCCGAUUGCGAAGGCAGCUUACUAAACUGCCACUGACAUUGAGGCUCGAAAGUGUGGGUAGCAAACAGGAUUAGAUACCCGGGUAGUC
rnacentral:rRNA from 1 species